rnacentral:rRNA from 1 species
AUUGAACGCUGGCGGCAUGCCUUACACAUGCAAGUCGAACGGCAGCACGGGAGCAAUCCUGGUGGCGAGUGGCGAACGGGUGAGUAAUAUAUCGGAACGUGCCCAGUAAUGGGGGAUAGCCCGGCGAAAGCCGGAUUAAUACCGCAUACGACCUCAGGGUGAAAGCGGGGGAUCGCAAGACCUCGCGUUAUUGGAGCGGCCGAUAUCAGAUUAGCUUGUUGGCGGGGUAAAAGCCCACCAAGGCGACGAUCUGUAGCUGGUCUGAGAGGACGACCAGCCACACUGGGACUGAGACACGGCCCAGACUCCUACGGGAGGCAGCAGUGGGGAAUUUUGGACAAUGGGCGCAAGCCUGAUCCAGCCAUGCCGCGUGUGGGAAGAAGGCCUUCGGGUUGUAAACCACUUUUGUCAGGGAAGAAACGGCCUUUACUAAUAUUAGGGGCUAAUGACGGUACCUGAAGAAUAAGCACCGGCUAACUACGUGCCAGCAGCCGCGGUAAUACGUAGGGUGCAAGCGUUAAU